AAACUUACCUACCAAGUAAGUUUACCAAGAAAUUGGAACAACCGACCCCUAACACGACGGGAUGACCGCUCUCAGGUUCCUUUCUGGUAUUUCACAAAUUUAUACGACGAAACUUGACAAUCGAAGAUGAGAUCGAAUCAUUAGGCGAUGAUAUCCCGAAUUUACAGCCAAUGAGUAAUAAAUUUCAAGAUGAAUCGUGUGACUGAGAUGGUUUUCAAUUCUCGCAGUUAUUGCAAUACAAAACUGAACUCGAUAUAACUGAAUGGUUGAUGAUGACAACUGAAACGCAGAAUAAUACUCUGCAAGGACUCUGUUCUAAGAUCGCGUUUGUUUUGCAAAAGCAAUAUGUCUCUUGGACCUUGGCAAUAGCUACAUCAUUUUAUUGACGCCUGGUGGGCAAUACUCGCAAAGCACUAGAUUGUUGUGGCAGAGUUUAGAUAACACUCUGAAGGAUAUGCAAGGGUGACUUCGACACUGCUACAAGUUUCUAUAGAUCGUCGUUUGAAUUUGAUGCAGAUACAGAUGCAUAUACUUGUGAUAUGAAAUACGAUAAAUUUUAUUGAAUCGCUCUCUCAUUAAUUUAUUGCGUAAAUAACAGUGUAAAUAUAUGUCUUUUAAUCAAUAUGAUUUUAUUUUUGAAUAAUAGCAAUUUUUCUAAAUCAUAUUGUUUAAAAUUAUCGUAUUUAGGUAAAACUAACCUACUUUAGAUUUAAAUUACACAUUUUUUACUGUCAGAAUGUUAAAGUUUUCUAAGUUUUGCAUUGUAAUUACAAGAGCAAAAUGUAUUGGAUAUUUGGUAUUAGAAAUAUAAAAUUUCAAAAUAUAA